rnacentral:rRNA from 1 species
GAUGAACGCUGGCGGCGUGCCUAAUACAUGCAAGUCGAGCGAACGGACGAGAAGCUUGCUUUUCUGAUGUUAGCGGCGGACGGGUGAGUAACACGUGGAUAACCUACCUAUAAGACUGGGAUAACUUCGGGAAACCGGAGCUAAUACCGGAUAAUAUUUUGAACCGCAUGGUUCAAAAGUGAAAGACGGUCUUGCUGUCACUUAUAGAUGGAUCCGCGCUGCAUUAGCUAGUUGGUAAGGUAACGGCUUACCAAGGCAACGAUGCAUAGCCGACCUGAGAGGGUGAUCGGCCACACUGGAACUGAGACACGGUCCAGACUCCUACGGGAGGCAGCAGUAGGGAAUCUUCCGCAAUGGGCGAAAGCCUGACGGAGCAACGCCGCGUGAGAGAUGAAGGUCUUCGGAUCGUAAAACUCUGUUAUUAGGGAAGAACAUACGUGUAAGUAACUGUGCACAUCUUGACGGUACCUAAUCAGAAAGCCACGGCUAACUACGUG